rnacentral:rRNA from 1 species
CCUACGGGAGGCAGCCGUGAGGAAUUUUGGUCAAUGGGCGCGAGCCUGAACCAGCCAAUUAGCGUGACGGAUGAAUGCCCUACGGGUUGUAAACUUCUUUUAUUACGGAAUAAAGCGCGGCACGUGUGCCCUUUUGUAUAUACUUUAUGAAUCAGGGUUGGCUAACUCCGUGCCCGCCGCCGCGGUAAUACGGAGGAUCCCAGCGUUUUGCGGAUUUUUUGGGGUUAAAGGGGGCGGAGGUGGGUGGUUAAGUCAGUUGUGAAAGUUUGCGGCUCAACCGGAAAAGUGCAAUUGAUACUGGCAGGCUAGAGAGCAGUUGAGGGAGGCGGAAUGCGUGGUGUAGCGGUGAAAUGCUUAGAGAUCACGAAGAACACCGAUUGCGAAGGCAGCUUACUAAGCUGCCACUGACAUUGAGGCACGAAAGUGUGGGGAGCAAACAGGAUUAGAUACCCUAGUAGUC